UACGAAGGGGGCUAGCGUUGCUCGGAAUCACUGGGCGUAAAGGGUGCGUAGGCGGGUCUUUAAGCCAGGGGUGAAAUCCUGGAGCUCAACUCCAGAACUGCCUUUGAUACUGAAGAUCUUGAGUUCGGGAGAGGUGAGUGGAACUGCGAGUGUAGAGGUGAAAUUCGUAGAUAUUCGCAAGAACACCAGUGGCGAAGGCGGCUCACUGGCCCGAUACUGACGCUGAUGCACGAAAGCGUGGGGAGCAAACAGG
rnacentral:rRNA from 1 species